UUCCCUAGCAGUUCAUUGGUUAAGACUCAGCACUUUCACUGCUGGUGGGCCCAGGUUCAAUCCCUGGUUGGGAAA
rfam:Ovis aries breed Texel chromosome 17, whole genome shotgun sequence.